rnacentral:tRNA from 1 species
GCCCGUGUAGCAGAAUGGCAUAUGCUGCUCCCUCAAAAGGAGUGUAAAUGUGGGUUCGAGUCCCACCUCGGGUAC